UACGUAGGGUGCAAGCGUUGUCCGGAAUUAUUGGGCGUAAAGAGCUCGUAGGCGGUCUGUCGCGUCGGGGAGUGAAAACUCAGGGCUUAACCCUGAGCCUGCUUCCGAUACGGGCAGACUAGAGGUAUGCAGGGGAGAAUGGAAUUCCUGGUGUAGCGGUGAAAUGCGCAGAGUAUCAGGAGGAACACCGGUGGCGAAGGCGGGUCGUCUGGGCCGAG
rnacentral:rRNA from 1 species